CCUGUGGCUCAGAGGUUAAAGCGUCUGCCUCCAAUGCAGGAGGCCCGGGUUCAAUCCCUGGGUCAGGA
rnacentral:tRNA from 1 species